UGAGGGGGGCUGCUCCUAGUACGAGAGGACCGGAGUGGACGCAUCACUGGUGUUCGGGUUGUCAUGCCAAUGGCACUGCCCGGUAGCUAAAUGCGGAAAAGAUAAGUGCUGAAAGCAUCUAAGCACGAAACUUGCCCCAAGAUGAGUUCUCCCUGAGACUUAGAGUCUCCUGAAGGAACGUUGAAGACGACGACGUUGAUAGGCCGGGUGUGUAAGCGCAGCGAUGCGUUGAGCUAACCGGUACUAAUGAACCGUGAGGCUUAACCUU
rnacentral:rRNA from 1 species